GUUCACAUCAGCAGCACAUACAUUAAUACUGCAAUGAUACAGGGAAGAUUAGCAUGACUCCUAGGCAAGAAUGACAAGUCUCUUCCACCACAACAAAGUGAA
rnacentral:snRNA from 1 species